rnacentral:rRNA from 1 species
GACGAACGCUGGCGGCGUGCUUAACACAUGCAAGUCGAACGGUAAGGCCCUUCGGGGUACACGAGUGGCGAACGGGUGAGUAACACGUGGGUGAUCUGCCCUGCACUUCGGGAUAAGCCUGGGAAACUGGGUCUAAUACCGGAUAGGACUCCGGACUGCAUGGUCUGGGGUGGAAAGCCUUUGCGGUGUGGGAUGGGCCCGGGGCCUAUCAGCUUGUUGGUGGGGUGAUGUCCUACCAAGGCGACGCCGGGUAGCCGGCCUGAGAGGGUGACCGGCCACACUGGGACUGGGAUACUGCCCAGACUGCUACGGGAGGCAGCAGUGGGUAAUAUUGCACAAUGGGCGCAAGCCUGAUGCAGCGACGCCGCGUGAGGGAUGACGGCCUUCGGGUUGUAAACCUCUUUCAGCAUCGACGAAUCGAAAGUGACGGUAGGUGCAGAAGAAGGACCGGCCAACUACGUGCCAGCAGCCGCGGUAA